AUGAACGCUGGCGGCGUGCCUAAUCCAUGCCAGUCGAGCGAACGGACGAGAAGCUUGCUUCUCUGAUGUUAGCGGCGGACGGGUGAGUAACACGUGGGUAACCUACCUAUAAGACUGGGAUAACUUCGGGAAACCGUAGCUAAUACCGGAUAAUAUUUUGAACCGCAUGGUUCAAAAGUGAAAGACGGUCUUGCUGUCACUUAUAGAUGGAUCCGCGCUGCAUUAGCUAGUUGGUAAGGUAACGGCUUACCAAGGCAACGAUGCAUAGCCGACCUGAGAGGGUGAUCGGCCACACUGGAACUGAGACACGGUCCAGACUCCUACGGGAGGCAGCAGUAGGGAAUCUUCCGCAAUGGGCGAAAGCCUGACGGAGCAACGCCGCGUGAGUGAUGAAGGUCUUCGGAUCGUAAAACUCUGUUAUUAGGGAAGAACAUAUGUGUAAGUAACUGUGCACAUCUUGACGGUACCUAAUCAGAAAGCCACGGCUAACUACGUG
rnacentral:rRNA from 1 species